CGAGCUCAUCUGCCAGGAGCAUGAAAGUGAAAACAGCCCUGUUAUCUCAGGCAUCAUUGGCAUCCUCUAUGCCACAGAGGAAGGAUUCGCACCCCCUGAGGACGAUGAGAUUGAAGAGCAUCAACAAGAAGACCAGGACGAGUACUGAGGGCGGCCGCAGCCCUGGCUGACUGCACAGCUUCCCCGUGCCUCCCUCCCUGCUCCACUCCCACAUUAUAGUCCUUUCCUAACACGGUCGGCCGGGUGCUUUGUGUCAGUGCUGCAGCACUGGGGAGCCAGGCGAGGGGGGCUUGGGGGCAUGGGGCCGGAAAGCAGGCAGAAGCCCGUCCUGGGUGGUGCUGGCCCAGUUGGUGGGACCCCUGUCCACACCCACCCUAUUUAUUUCCGUUGUCUCUCUGCUGUGUCGCCCAACACUUCCCAGGGUGCUGCUGCCACCCGCCCCAGCCAGCCACCUGCUCCUGACAGCCAGCAGCUGUGUAUUUGACAAAGUCAUUGGUAUAUUUUUACUUACUGGAUUCUCCUUGCACUUUACCUGUUCUUUUCCAGAGCUGACAGCACGGGCUCCGGCGCAGUGUGCCUGGCUUGGCUUCCCUUCCCCAUGGCUGGGGGCUGGGGUAGGACUCACCCAUUCUAAUUUAUUUUGUCUUUUGGCUUCUCAGUAGCUAAGGGGAAGGCUGAUGUCAGGAGAGGGAGAGGGGGCUGAGGAGGUAGUGCUGUAGGCCCAGGGGGUCAGGGAAAGGGAGGGGGGCAUGUGAGGGAUGGAAAUGACCUCCUGGCACCAGGCUCACCCACCCAAGGCCCCCUGCCCCAGCACUGAAUCCCAGCGCUGCCCUGAGGCCCCCAGCCACUCCCUCCAGCAGCCUGGUUCACCACACAAACUCUGCCUGGACCCCAUUGUCUGUCUGCUUCCCACCUGCCCUCCCCACCCCCUGCCCCUCGGGCACCAGCCUGCAUAUGUGUUCACUUUUAUUUAAAUAAACUUG
rnacentral:lncRNA from 1 species